GACGAACGCUGGCGGCGUGCUUAACACAUGCAAGUCGAACGGAAAGACCCUGCUUUUGUGGGGUGCUCGAGUGGCGAACGGGUGAGUAACACGUGAGUAACCUGCCCUUGACUUUGGUAUAACUUCAGGAAACUGGGGCUAAUACCGGAUAGGAUCUCCUGCUGCAUGGUGGGGGUUGGAUAGUUUCGGCGGUUGGGGAUGGACUCGCGGGUUAUCAGCUUGUUGGUGGGGUAGUGGCUUACCAAGGCUUUGACGGGUAGCCGGCCUGAGAGGGUGACCGGACACAUUGGGACUGAGAUACGGCCCAGAAUCCUACGGGAGGCAGCAGUGGGGAAUAUUGCACAAUGGGCGGAAGCCUGAUGCAGCAACGCCGCGUGCGGGAUGACGGCCUUCGGGUUGUAAACCGCUUUCGCCUGUGACGAAGCGUGAGUGACGGUAAUGGGUAAAGAAGCACCGGCUAACUACGUG
rnacentral:rRNA from 1 species